UGCUCGCACACACACAGGAAAAAAUGAGAAAGCCUUGAGGGAUACCUCUUCUAGAAAAUUUUCUUGCUAUGGUUGGUACAGUGAAAUCCCCUUGGUCUCCUCUCAAAAAGUCUGUUGAAGAAGAUCAUACCUGCUUCACUGACAUGCUAUGGUGUGAAUGAAGAUGAAACACAAGAAUGGCCCUUCAGUAUCCUGGAGAUAAUGAUGUGCUUUGGAGAGUACACGUCAAGUAUAAGGAAGUCCUUCCAGGAUCAGCAUGAAGCCUUAGGACCUAAACAAACUGUGACAAAUUCCGUGGUAUUAGUGUCUGAAUGCCUAUGCUUUAAAUAGGUUGAAAGCCAUUCCUCAAGGUUGUGGCAAAAUUUCAAGAUGCAACACUGGGAGGCGAUUUGCUCUUUAUAUAGAAGCCUCAAGCCUUGGUUUUGUGUCUCAAUAAAAGAAGU